rnacentral:misc_RNA from 1 species
CCGAGUGAAAACUCCCAACCCCAUGUGAACAUACCUUUUGUUGCUUCGGCGGGUUCGCCCCGGGCGCCUCUGGUGCCCCGGACCCAGGCGCCCGCCGGAGGACCUAAACUAUUGUCUUCAGUGGAAUUCUCUGAGUGGCUCUUGAGCAAAUAAAUCA